AGGAAAAGAGAGGCCCCCUGAUUAUUGUGUCGUUCCAUGUAGCACUGUGGCCUGCAGAUUGUCCCUCAUUGGGCUGACACCUCCCCUCUGGCACCCGCAGUUCCUAGCCAGUGUGCGUUCUCCACACUCACCUGUAGGUGGCGUCUUCCAGCUGACCAGCUCUACCAGCAAGGCCGCUGCUAGUGGAGUCCUCCUGAGGCAUGAGGGGAGGGAGCCGU
rnacentral:lncRNA from 1 species